rnacentral:rRNA from 1 species
CUCCAAGGCUAAAUACUCCUGACUGACCGAUAGUGAACCAGUACCGUGAGGGAAAGGCGAAAAGAACCCCGGCGAGGGGAGUGAAAAAGAACCUGAAACCGUGUACGUACAAGCAGUGGGAGCCUCUUUUAUGGGGUGACUGCGUACCUUUUGUAUAAUGGGUCAGCGACUUAUAUUCUGUAGCAAGGUUAACCGAAUAGGGGAGCCGAAGGGAAACCGAGUCUUAACUGGGCGUUAAGUUGCAGGGUAUAGACCC